GACGAACGCUGGCGGCGUGCUUAACACAUGCAAGUCGAGCGGCGCGGCGAACGGGUGAGUAAAGCGUGAGUAACUGCCCCCCUCUCUGGGAUAACAGUUGGAAACGGCUGCUAAUACCGGAUAGUGGGGGAUGACUCGCGUCCUAUCAGCUUUUUGGGGGGGUAGUGGCCAACCAAGGCGACGACCGGUAGCCGGCCUGAGGGGGCGACCGGCGCCAUGGGUCUGCGAUACGGCCCAAACUCCUACGGGGGGCAGCAGUGGGGAAUAUUGCACAAUGGUGGAGACCCUGAUGCAGCAACGCCGCGUGCGGGAUGACGGCGUUCGGGUUGUAAACCGCUUUCAGCCAUGACGCGGUAGUGGCAGAAGAAGCACCGGCUAACUACGUGCCAGCAGCCGCGGUAAUUC
rnacentral:rRNA from 1 species